UACGAAGGGGGCUAGCGUUGCUCGGAAUCACUGGGCGUAAAGGGCGUGUAGGCGGGCAGGUAAGUCGGGCGUGAAAUCCCUGAGCUCAACUCAGGAACUGCACUCGAAACUACUUGUCUUGAGUACCGGAGAGGAAAGCGGAAUACCUGGUGUAGAGGUGAAAUUCGUAGAUAUCAGGUGGAACACCAGUGGCGAAGGCGGCUUUCUGGACGGUAACUGACGCUGAGACGCGAAAGCGUGGGGAGCAAACAGG
rnacentral:rRNA from 1 species